rnacentral:rRNA from 1 species
GGGACGAACGCUGGCGGCGUGCUUAACACAUGCAAGUCGAGCGGAAAGGCCCUUUCGGGGGUACUCGAGCGGCGAACGGGUGAGUAACACGUGAGUAAUCUGCCCUGCGCUCUGGGAUAGCCACCGGAAACGGUGAUUAAUACCGGAUAUGACCUGUCCCUGCAUGGGGGUGGUGGAAAGUUUUUUCGGCGUGGGAUGUGCUCGCGGCCUAUCAGCUUGUUGGUGAGGUAAUGGCUCACCAAGGCUUUGACGGGUAGCCGGCCUGAGAGGGUGACCGGUCACACUGGGACUGAGACACGGCCCAGACUCCUACGGGAGCAGCAGUGGGAAUAGUUGGACAAUGGGCGAAGCCUGACUCAGCAACGCCGCGUGAGGGAUGGAACGGCCGUUCGGGUUACGUAAACCGUUCGUUUUAAGGAGGGAAGAAGACGAAAGUCGAACGGUACCU